AAAAUGCAAAAGCCAACUCUUACUUUUGAAGAAUUCUUACAGUCCCAAAAUUUGGAUGAUUGGCCAAGGGUUCCCUUUUUGGAUGAUGAUUGUUCUUUGGUGGACAAAUUACAAAAAGAUUAUUCAUUCAGUGCUAUUUCAAAGUGUCUGUAUGAAAAUGCGCCACUGAACAUUAAACCCAUCUCAGACGUGGAGAAGAAAAUAAAUGAAUGCACCAUGGAACUGAAGGAACAUGCUGGAAAAAUACUUUCUUUGGAACACAAACAAGUGGAGAUGGAUAGUCAUCUAAUUUCACCACAGCAAAGUAAUAAGCAAUUAUUUUAGUUUUACUAAUAGGAACAAUAGCUGAAUGGUGAAUGAAUUGAUUUAAUCCAUUUUUCAUCCCUAGCAAUUUCUUUCAAGUUUCUUGAAACAACAGGAAAAAUGUACAGUCUGGUAUCUGAAAAACAUACAUGUAUAUGCAGUAAAGAUGCAGAGUUGGAUAAAAUUCUAGCAGAUAGAAUAUAAUAACAUUUGCACAUUAGAAAAUUUUUCAUGUAGUGCUCAGAGGUCUACAGUACAUAUAUACACAAUGUCCUGCAUAAGGUAUAUCACUGUUGUCCUGAGAGGCAUUCAUGCAUAAGCUAUAUUAUAGUAGAAGUAGCCUUGGGAAGCAUUGUGCUUUUAAGAAGCACAGGUAUUUUUGUGCUGCCCUUACUAACAGGAAAAGUACUAAAUUAGCUAUGUUGUUUGAUGUAUUUAGACUGUGGAGUCAAAGCUUUGUCAUUUAUACAUUUUCUUUGUCCACUUCAGGAGGCAAGGCUUACACAUGCUUACAGUUUAUCUAUGCAAAACAUACGCCUCAGAUAAAUUAAUAUAAAAAAUAGAGUUUUAACUAAAAAUGUUGUUCUUAAUGGACAUAGUUGAUUAGAACCUUAAUUUUGCAACUCCACUAAAGACAGCAUCUCCAUCAAUUCUUAAUGUGUAAUUAUUGUCCGAUAAUUGGCCAAGAGUUUCUUGGUGAUUGUUCUUUGGCAGACAAAUAAUGUCAAAUGGAUAGUACAUUCAUAAUUUCAAAGGGUAUAUAGUGUUCUGUAACUUUGUGUUAGGGCACUAGUUCAGUAUCAAGUUAGGCAGAAGAUAGGGCAGGAUGGCACCUUGAAGACUGCCUUAUUCAGAGAGACCUAAGCUUUCAUAGGUGACAGCCUACUCUGUCAGAUGCUUUGUCAGAUAUCUCUGCCUGACUUCAGACUACAUGGCUAACGACUUUUCAGUGUUCAGUUGGAAAGCGAAGAGUCAGUUUCUUUAGAAUCUCACUUUGGUUUAGGUGUAGCCUUCUGGUGUUAUGGCUGGAGAGAUAUCAUUGUUACAACUAAAUAACUGUGUGGUACUUUUUACUAAAUGCAUUGGGCAUACUUCUCAGUUGGUAUUGAUUUCAGUGGAGAUAUACUGCUUCACAUCAGAUGAAGUUACUAUUGUUUCUUGCAAAUAUCAGUAAUCUGAUUCCUUUAUCAUCUCUGUGUAAUUAUUUAUGGAUAUGAUGUUAACAUACGGAUUUGCAUAUAAAAUUGUGGGAUCUCUUGGGGGAUAUGCUUGUGACGGGGUAGGCAACUUUUUUUGCUGGCGUGCCAGAAAAAAUGCAGUGUCUACCUUGUAAGGUGCUGGAGUGCUGGCAUACCAGAAAAACAAAACCAGGGCAGAGGGUACAUGACAGGAUGCACUUUAUAUUAAUAUAGUUAAUAAUCAUCAAUGUUGCUUUGUUUUUUCCCAGUAAAUACCAGGUUUUCUAAAAAAUGUUAAACCUGGUGACAAUAAAU
rnacentral:lncRNA from 1 species